GUGGAGCCGGCUGUGUCAGAAGCUGCUGGCAGGGACUGGCAGCUCCUGGCAGCCCUGCUGGAGGGGCAGGCACAGCAGCAGGGGCAGCUGAAAGGCAUCCCAGCCCUGGCAGUGCCAGGGGCAGGAGCCCGACCUGCAGGUGCUCAGAGCUCCCAGGAGCUCAGGGCUGGAGCCACAGCAGCCCCUGGGCCGCUCCUGACUGCAGCUGUGCAGUGCCUGCACUGCCCCUGCCCUGGGGCACAGCACAGCAGCCUGAGCAGUGCCCCCGGCUUUGACUGACAGACAUCCACACUGACCUUCCCCCUGCAUUUGGCAGGUUUCUCAAAGGACGGGAUUAGCCAGGAGAAAAUCUAACUUCCUAAUGUAUGGGUGCUGAAACCAGUAUUCUGGAGUCUGAUUCCUCAGUCUGGUCCUCUGAUGAAGCACACUCUUGUCUUAACUUUGCUGGCUGGGGCAGAAGAUUUCCUUCACUCUGUGAAGUCACUGAACUCUAACUUUCCUUAUUAAAUCCAAUUUGUGGCUCCAGAGCCUCCAUGUAAAACCCGCUCUGCUCAUAGAUACAUAACCUUUUGUCUGCUACCAGCACUCCAGCAGGAUUAUUCCCCUUUCAGUCCUCAGUACCUGAAGGAAAAAAUAUUGUUGGACCCGUUUUGUCAGAAAUCUAAGGUAAUUGGCACAAACAUCUGUUUCUGGCUCAUCCAGCACCACAUCUCUGUCCUCAUCCCCAGCCAGGAGCAGCCUGUGUUAGCUGGGUGGACCAGAAAGCUUUGGAGCAGGAGAUGUGGCAGUGAAUGCUCACAGCUCACAGCACAGGGCUGGGUCAGACUGCGGGCUCAGAGCGGGACUGGAGAGAAGAAAUUCCCCCCAACUGCAGGAGAGCUGCAGGCCUGAGCUACUGGGGAUGGGGAGGCACAGGACUGCUGGAGCCACGAAGCAAAGCAGCAGAGCUCCAGGGCAGGAGACACCCAGAACCAGCUGGGCUGCAAAUGUGCCUGCUCAAAACCAGGCUUUGUGUUCCUAAGGCUCCUUGCCUGGAACAUGUCCCCGCAGGAGUUUGAUGUUUGGGGAUGGGAGGGGCAAGAAAAUAUUCCCCAAUUUAGUUGAAGGGAAGAGAUGAUCCAGACCCACUCAGUUAUCAAAACCUCUGGAGCAAUCGUGACCACAUCUUCAGUUUUUAAAAGUUUUUUAAGGAUUUCUGCAGCCCUGGAUGUGCUGCCACUUUGCUCACCCUCUGGAAAGGGGCGAGCUGGGGAAGCCUGGCCCCUCUAAGAGCAGGCCAGAGCUCUUCACUUGCUGUUUGCCAUGAAACAACAAACCUGGAGGUUUGAUCUGAAACAAUCUCCUUCCCUCCUCUCCCAGCCCUGACCUUAAAGCUGGUUUUAUUCCAGCUCGGUCAGGUGGGAGGAACACGGAGCAGACAACAGAAUAUCUCAUUUUCAUUUCAGCCUAACAUUGAGGGGUAGAUUUUUGCCUCCAUCUCCAUUAUUGUCUUCCAGAACUGGUUCUUCGGCCACCCAAGAUGAAAACUUGUCCCUGCUAGGACUUCUUGGAACACCUUGAUGAGUGCAGCUCACCUGUCAGAGCUGCCUGGAUGCUGCAGAUGAGCAAAGGCUUCCUGGGAAGUUUUCUCCAGAGAGAAAAGGCAGGAGAGAGGGAUCUUCUCCCUCCAGAGCAAAGAACUGAAACACAACAUUUAAGAAGAGGCUGCACCAUUGAGUUGCAUAACAGAGCUCCUGCUGGUGAGAUUCAGCUCUUCACUUCACUGUCUCCCACCACUGGAUGCUUGUUACCAAAAUCAGCUGCUGGCAGAGCUGCAAGCACAGCCAGGAAAGCCCGGAAUGCAAACUGGAAAAUGAUGAGGAAGAAAAAGAUUCAUUUCUUCCCUGAGAUUUUGCAAAGCCGUUACCUGUUUUUGAAUGGCAUUUCCAAUUCAACACUGGGAACUGCUAAAGCAUUUACAUAAGAAUGCAAAAAUGCACACAUUAUCACUGCAGGAAGCACUUAAAAUUUAAGAUAAUUAUAUAGUAUGGAAACCAUUUCAAAGGACUCAAACAAAAUAACAACUAAUUCUAGAGAGUCACCCUUUAAGAUGAUUAUUACUCUGCACUGCCGCUGAUCUCCCACUAAAAAAAUCCUUCUUUACAAUUAUAUACACAUUAUAAAUUCCUACUUUGUUCUUCCACCAUCAAGCUCCUACAGCUGCCACUGACAAAUCUGCAUUCUCUGAGAGCUUAUCUAGACAACCGAAAUGUCACGCUGGGAACAGAGGUGAAACACGGCACACGCAGGGUCGGGGCCGCCCUCCCUUCCCGGCUCUGCAGCACAGAGCAUUCCUGGCAGGAGCCUGCCCUUCCCUGCCGUGCCAUGAGCAGCAGCAGCAGCAGAACCCCACGCUGGGUCAGCAGCAGGGGGAUCCCCAGGAGCCUGGGGCAGCCCCUGGGCCCUCAUCCCCUGGACCCGGCUGCUGCUCCUCAUCGGUGCAAGGUAACAGGGAGCAGGAGGAAAGCAUUCUGCCAGCUGCUGUCCCACCGAAAGAUCCCACUUCAGCUGCAGAAAGCUGGCGUGGCAAGGGAGGAGCACGCCGGUGAGGUGGAGCUGCCUCUCUCCACCUCCUGCUCCCACUCCCCAUGCCGCUCUGCCUCCUGCCCCACUGCUGCCGUUCUUUGUCUUUUCCACAAGUGUCCCAGGGAAAAAAAAUAAAACAGUCUGCCUAGCUCUAUUGCUCAAAGCAAACUCAUCUGGGGAAAAACUUAUCUGCCAAAGCCUAAUAUGUUUUUAUUGGAUAUCUGCUAAGAGAGAUUUACAGAAGCUCAUGCCAAAGUCAAACUACUUUUUUUUUUCCCCACAGCAAGGGCAAAAGUACAAACUGAACUCAGAGCAAAUGAAAUUUUCUUGUCUCAGCUAUUAUGGAGACUUAACAAAGUCCCACACCAAGUCUCUGACUUAAUGGACAAGAGAAAGUGUUUUCUGAGUCUAAUUAUUGGAAAUAACUGCAGUGAAAAUAGCUGGAACUUUCCCACAAACUUCAGCCUGAGAAAGAAAACACAUACAUUUAAAAUCUUGUAUUUGGACAAAGUCCAGAGUAAAUUAAGCCAGUAUCUGGUAAUGGGAGGUACAGCCAGCCCAUGAAUAGGUGUGUGCUGCUGCAGGUUUUCCACACAACUGUCUCAAACCAAGCAAAGCACUGGAGCUCACUGCUGUCACCUCUCAGUGUUGCAAAAAGCCAGAAGAGCUGUGCCCAGGGAUGGUGUGGGUGUGAUCUGUGGUCAGCACCCGCUGACCUUUCAGGGCUCAGGGACAGCCUGGGAGCUGAGCACUCCAGAAGCAGCAGAGCACUCACUGCAACGCCAGCUCUGCACUCAGCAGUGACUGCACCUGUGGGAAGCCAUGAAUGGCUGCACUCAUUGUGACAACGAGCACUACUAAAUAAUAAUCACAUUUCCACAUUGAAGUGUGCAUCGAGAAAACAGUUUUGAAGAGAUUCACCUUCCCUGCUCCCAGCAGCUGCAGCCAGUGUGAUGCAAGAAUGCCAAGGACUGAAUUAUUUCUGCAGACAGGAAAAUGAUUUAUAUAUUUUUAAAUAAAUAAUGUGAUUUAUGUAAAAAAGGCUUAUAACCUAAGAAUUGAAUGAUGUAUAGAGUAGUUCAUCAUUGGGGUUUUAAUAUGAUACCUCUAAAAUAUGCAUACAGGUCAGUGAUUUACUAAUAACCUACUCUUACAACACAGGCACACAGAGAUGCAAAGCACAACAGGCUUAAACUCCUUAAACCCCCAAUUUCCAUUCUCACUGCUAUAUAAAAAUAAAGAAGUAUUUAAAUUAAGUUGGUUUUAUUAUCCCUUUUUAAGUCUUAAUCCAUCACUGGGCUACCUUCUACCACAGCACAUAAAUAAAUCAGCCUUUCAUUGCCAGAGACCUUUACAAGACUGUUGUUGUUCAUUUACUUUUAGUUUUCUGGGUAUGCUGGGCAUAUCCCAAGCAUGCAAAAAGGAUCUACUUGCCCUAAGAUAAAAAAAUAAAUAUGAUAAAGAUGAAAAAACAUUCAUCAGAGGCAGCAGGAAAUGAGGGGAGCAGAGCAGGGCAGAGGGCAGCAGUGAUGUCAUGCUCAGAGUGAGUUUGAGAAGGAAAUCCUUGGAGCUGGAGUGCACCCCAGAGCCAGAGCAGCUCAGCCCUGGGAGUGAGCUCCUGGCAGUGUGCAGUGCUCCAGGAACGUCCUGCUGCCUCCUCAGCACGCCGGGCUGCCCGUGU